GUGAACGAGCGACGCCGCGUGCAGGAUGAAGGCCUUCGGGUUGUAAACUCCUGUCGAGGGGGAACAAGGGGCCGUGAAGAGCGGUCCUCGAGUGGUCCCUGGAGGAAGCACGGGCUAAGUUCGUGCCAGCAGCCGCGGUAAGACGAACCGUGCUAACGUUAUUCGGAAUCACUGGGCUUAAAGCGCGUGUAGGCGGUCCGGCACGUUCGUCGCUGAAAUCCCCCGGCUCAACCGGGGAACGGGCGCGGAUACGACCGGGCUAGAGGGAGGUAGGGGGAGCUGGAACUUCCGGUGGAGCGGUGAAAUGCGUUGAGAUCGGAAGGAACGCCCGUGGCGAAAGCGGGCUCCUGGACCUUGCCUGACGCUGAGACGCGAAAGCCAGGGGAGCGAACGGGAUUAGAUACCCCGGUAGUCCUGGCCGUAAACGAU
rnacentral:rRNA from 1 species